UACGUAGGGAGCGAGCGUUGUCCGGAUUCAUUGGGCGUAAAGAGCUCGUAGGCGGCUUGAUAAGUCGGAUGUGAAACCUCCAGGCUCAACCUGGAGUCGCCAUCCGAUACUGUCAUGGCUAAAGUCCGGUAGGGGCCCACGGAAUUCCUGGCGUAGCGGUGAAAUGCGCAGAUAUCAGGAGGAACACCGGUGGCGAAGGCGGUGGGCUGGGCCGGCACUGACGCUGAGGAGCGAAAGCGUGGGGAGCGAACAGG
rnacentral:rRNA from 1 species